GGGAAGGAGACGCGGAGGGAAACUGAGCGGGGGCGCAGUCCGGGGUGAUCGCACGGGUCCUUCCAGAAGCCUCCCCUCCUCUGAAGCCCGCAGUCCACAGCCCCCCACGGUUGGCCUCCGCCCCGCUUAGGCUCCAUCCCCGAACUCACCGGCCAGCCCGGUCCUGCACCAGCUGGACAGCAGGAGCAGAAGCGGGAGGCGUAGAAGGAACGCGGGGCUGGCGGCCGCUGCCAUUGGGGAGUUGGAUCGCAGGGGACAGCAGAAGCGAAGCCCAGCCCGUGGAUCACCUGGCGGCUCGCAGGCUGUCUGAAUGCAGCCCUAACCUACACCUCUUCUCACCCUAGGAGCUGUACCCAAAGCUCUGAAUGAGACUGUCCCUGCCCCGCCCCAUCCACUCCUGGUCCAGCUCAGCAGUGACCUUGGAACUCCAGGAGCAGCUCAGUACCCCUGUCUCCGAGUCAGCUCUGCUCCAGGCAGGGCCAGAAUCUGGAGUGUGCAGGAGGCCGGAUGGCAGGGGCAUUGCCCCAGGACUGAGCCGUAUUCUGAGGGUUCCCAGAGACCUGACCUCCUACUUGUA
rnacentral:lncRNA from 1 species